rnacentral:rRNA from 1 species
GGGUUUAAAGGGUGCGUAGGCGGCUUUUUAAGUCAGGGGUGAAAGACGGUGGCUCAACCAUCGCAGUGCCCUUGAUACUGAAGAGCUUGAAUACAUUAGAGGUAGGCGGAAUGUGACAAGUAGCGGUGAAAUGCAUAGAUAUGUCACAGAACACCGAUUGCGAAGGCAGCUUACUAUGAUGAGAUUGACGCUGAGGCACGAAAGCGUGGGGAUCAAACAGGAUUAGAUACCCUGGUAGUCCACGCCCUAAACGAUGAAUACUCGCUGUUAGCGAUACACAGUUAGCGGCUAAGCGAAAGCGUUAAGUAUUCCACCUGGGGAGUACGGUCGCAAGAUUGAAACUCAAAGGAAUUGACGGGGGCCCGCACAAGCGGAGGAGCAUGUGGUUUAAUUCGAUGAUACGCGAGGAACCUUACCCGGGCUUGAAAGUUAGUGAAUCAUUUAGAGAUAGAUGAGUGAGCAAUCACACGAAACUAGGUGCUGCAUGGCUGUCGUCAGCUCGUGCCGUGAGGUGUUGGGUUAAGUCCCGCAGCGAGCGCAACCCCUAUGUUUAGUUGCCAGCACGUUAAGGUGGGGACUCUAAACAGACUGCCUGUGCAAACAGAGAGGAAGGAGGGGACGACGUCAAGUCAUCAUGGCCCUUACGUCCGGGGCUACACACGUGCUACAAUGGAUGGUACAGAGGGCAGCAAGCUGGCAACAGCAAGCGAAUCUCCAAAAGCCAUUCACAGUUCGGAUAGAGGUCUGCAACUCGACCUCUUGAAGUUGGAUUCGCUAGUAAUCGCAUAUCAGCAAUGAUGCGGUGAAUACGUUCCCGGGCCUUGUACACACCGCCCGUCAAGCCAUGGAAGUUGGGGGUACCUAAA